rnacentral:rRNA from 1 species
UACGUAGGGUGCGAGCGUUAAUCGGAAUUACUGGGCGUAAAGCGUGCGCAGGCGGUUCGUUGUGUCGGCGGUGAAAGCCCCGGGCUCAACCUGGGAAUGGCCGUUGAAACUGGCGAACUGGAGUGUGGCAGAGGGGGGUGGAAUUCCGCGUGUAGCAGUGAAUGCGUAGAUAUGCGGAGGAACACCGAUGGCGAAGGCAAUCCCCUGGGCCUGUACUGACGCUCAUGCACGAAAGCGUGGGAGCAAACAGG